rnacentral:ncRNA from 2 species
UGACUCGUGGCAGGAGAGAUCCAAUGCCCCGGUGUUGGACGCCGACGGAGCAACUUCCUCCCCUGGAAACUCUCAGGCACCCAUACCGUCACGAAGAG